GAUGAACGCUGGCGGCGUGCCUAAUACAUGCAAGUAGAACGCUGAAGGAGGAGCUUGCUCUUCUGGAUGAGUUGCGAACGGGUGAGUAACGCGUAGGUAACCUGCCUGGUAGCGGGGGAUAACUAUUGGAAACGAUAGCUAAUACCGCAUGACAACAGUUAUUGCAUGAUAACUGUUUAAAAGGGGCAACUGCUCCACUACCAGAUGGACCUGCGUUGUAUUAGCUAGUUGGUGAGGUAACGGCUCACCAAGGCGACGAUACAUAGCCGAACUGAGAGGGUGAUCGGCCACACUGGGACUGAGACACGGCCCAGACUCCUACGGGAGGCAGCAGUAGGGAAUCUUCGGCAAUGGACGGAAGUCUGACCGAGCAACGCCGCGUGAGUGAGGAAGGUUUUCGGAUCGUAAAGCUCUGUUGUAAGAGAAGAACGAGUGUGAGAGUGGAAAGUUCACACUGUGACGGUAUCUUACCAGAAAGGGACGGCUAACUACGUG
rnacentral:rRNA from 1 species